CGCCGAGCCGCGGGACGGCUAAUUUUACAUAAUAAACAAAACAAAACUACCUGCAACAAAACGGUAUAAUGAAACAUGUUAGGUACACGAUAAUCGUACACGGUUCGCGAUGUUAAAGUCGUUACAGUAUAGAGGGGCAAUACCAUAGUACACAUUACGUAUAUGAUAGUAUUAAGGGGCGUGCGGAGCGCGUUAACCCGUUCGAUUAGAUCGCGGAAAUGUCACGCGCGCGUUCGAACGUCUGGAAAGUUUCG